rnacentral:lncRNA from 1 species
AAAUGUUCCAAAUAUUAGGCAAAAAGCUUAGAUGUUAACAAGACAAACCCAAAAACUAAAUAUAAUGUAAGUGAAAUCCAAAAGCUAAGACAACAUGAACAUUCGACAAGGAUCAACUUGAGAAGUUAGUGAUGUAGUGUGCAAUUUAGUACGCUCGGCUUCAACAGUCUCAUCCUGUCGAGGAUUCUUCUUCGGGGGAAGAAGAACUCAUAGCCUGCUGGGUCAUCUCUACUACUUCCUUUGCCUUCUCAGAUUUUGCCUCCAGAUCUAAGCUUCAACAUGAACCUCCUUCAACGUUUCACGGGUUUGCAAGAACAUCCAAUUCAGAUAAAUAUCGAAUUGGAAUUUGAAGGCCUUGUACUUUGCAACCACCUAGUUGCUCUUAGCACAGAGAUCUAUCUUCUCAGCUUCGAAAGCAUUAAGAGAUGCCGUCAAUGGGUCAACCGACGCAAUGAGAAACCUCAAUUUAUCGCUCGAUGCACAUAGAUCUACCUUAGCCUGGGUAUACUCGUGCACUAGUUGACUCGAGUAUAUAUUUUUCUAUGCAAGUAAAUUUUUAAGGCUCUGAAUCUCCUCGGUAGAUUUGAAUUUUGAUUAAUGAACAUGGCCUCCAAUUGCUUCAUUUCUGCUAUAGUAUACUUCAGUUCUGCAGUAACCAGCUUAGCCUGUUACUCUAAAGCCUCCUUCUCCUCCUGAAGCCCCUUCGCCGAGACUUCCAAUAUCUAUGGUCUACCGCUAGCUCCGCAAUGGUCUCCUCGUAGUAUGUAAUUCCCUUCAACACCUCUGUGCCGUUCAAAUUGCACUGCAAAAUCAAAGUCAUAUUAAUUAUCGAAAUAUAAAAUGUAAACAAAAUAAAAAGGAAGAAAGAAAAGGAAAAUACACCCGGAGAGUGGAGUGGAGCAUGGCAUUGACCAAACUGGCAGUAGAAUGGACAUUGAAUUUUCCUUGUUCGCAAGGGACAAUCAACCUCUUUAACGGAGGGAAAACUUUAUUGGGACGGUGUUAGAGAUUAACAUCCUCAAGAAUCUCAGUUACAACCCGAUGCAUCUUUGCCUCCGUAGAGGGACCGCUACCUUCACGAGUAAAAAUGUUAGGCAGAUGUUCUGAAGCAGAAGAAUAAGGGGGACGCACAGAGUGUUGGAUCUCGAAAGGAUGAUCCCAAUCUAUGGACCAUCAAAACUUGCAACACAUAGAGCCUCGACCGACUCCAAAGUGGGAGCAGGGGUUGGUUUCUCUACACGCACCCCACAGUUUUUUUCUUCACUAUCCUCCACGAAGAUAGGAUCAUCCUCGGGCUCAUCUCAGAGACAAAGUUGAGUAUUUAGGGGG